AAUGCUUCCCUUCUCCAGCCGCACUGCAUCCUGGGUGUCCCUCUCUCUUUCCACUGACCUCCCCAGACAGACGGAAGGGACCCCACGUGGGGAGAGCUCCUACCUCUGGUCUGAGUGCUCCGUUGGUGUCCAUCCACGUCUGGAAAGCUGCCCCAAGGUCGUCUUGUUGCUGUGCAGGGAAAAGACAGGCCCUAGCACCGGGCUUGACAGAGGCAUGGCUGUGGUCUUGCCAUGAAACAGCAACAGCCCAGGCCUGGGGCCUGGAACCCGGACUCUAGGGCUGCUCCUCAGGGUCAAGCCCCAGACCUGCUACUUGCUAACUGCAUCAUCUGCGGAAAGCUGCUUAACUCCUUUCUUCAGUUUUUUCAUCUUGAAAAUGGACCUGAUAAUACAACUCUCUCACAAGACCUGCUGAAAGGAACUCAUGGAAAGCACCCGUAGCCCAGGUGCAGUGGCUCACACCUGUAAUCCCAGCACUUUGGGAGGCCGAGGCGGGAGGAUCACUUGAGGUCAGGAGUUCAAGACCAGCCUGGCCAUCACAGCGAAAGCCCUUCUCUACUAAAAUACAAAAAUUAUCUGGGCGUAGUGGUGUGCGGCUAUAAUACCAGCUACUGGGGAGGCUGAGGCAGGAGAAUCGCUUGAACCUGGGAGGAGGAGGUUGCAGUGAGAUAAGAUUGUACCACUGCACUACAGCCUGGGUGAAAGAGCAAGACUGCAUCUCAAAAAAAAAACAGGAAAGGAAAGCACCUUAGCACUGAACAAGUACUCAAUCAGUAUUAGUGAUUACUCCAAAAAUCCAAAAUCCUCUAAUUUUCUGUUUCCUGGAUCUUUUCCCUUUCCUUUACCUUUCUUUCUUACUGAUGAGAAGGACAAGUGAAGGCUGCAGAACAGAGGCCAGGGCUGUUACUCUGUCUUUGAGGACGGUGCAGAGGGAGGGGCAAUGAGAGCAGACAGGAGGAGAGCAGAGGUUCUGAGUGAUGCCUGGCCCGAGGGCUCCUGCUGCAUUCAGUCUCUCCUCGAGGCUACUCCCUGGGACGCUGUGGGGGCCUGAUGGCAAUAGUUGUCCAGCCACCAUGCAAUAGUAAAAUGGGGAUGGACUGGUCACAGGGCUUGGGAGGAGUCAUGCUCUCGGACAGGGCCACAGCGGCCACCAGGGAGGAAGGCAGGGCCCCCAAUCUGUCCCCGGCCUGACUUUUUUUGUUUUUUGUUUCUUUUUGAGACAGUCUUGCUCUGUUGCCCAGGCUGGAGUGCAGUGGCGUGAUCUCGGCUCACUGCAGCCUCCACCUCCCGGCUUCAAGCGAUUCUCCUACCUAAGCCUCCCCUGUAGCUAGGAUUACAGGUGCUACCUACCACGCCUGGCAUAUUUUUAGUAGAGAUGGGGUUUUGCCAUGUUGGCCAGGCUGGUCUCAAACUACUGACCUCAGGUGAUCCGCCCACCUUGGCCUCCCAAAGUGCUGGGAUUACAGGCAGGAGCUACCACGCCCAGCCCCAACUCUCUUUGGAUUCAGAAUCUGAGAUGUAAGGACUCUUGCAAUCAGCCCAUGUAUGUAGAGUAUACAGAUAGGACCAUGAUCCCAGUGACCAAAGCAUCUUCCUUAAUUCAGUCAGCGGCACAUCAAAAACAGGUUUCCUGCCUCCUGGCCCAGGGCUCUUUCUGUUGCUUCCAGGUCCAAGUCUCCAGUAUGAAGUGACAAAAGGACAUGGGCAUCCCUAGGCCCAGGUUACGGCUCUAGGCACCGGGGCCAGAGAGGGCCAGCAGCCUCUUCCCCUGAACCCUUUAGGCCUUCCCCAGGUAGGCAAAAGAGAAUGUUUCCAACUUACAAAUUGGAUAGGACGCCCUGGAGGACCCUGUAAAAGAAGACAGCAGGUCAGUUAAAUGAUGGGGACAGUGUGCUGGAAUCUGGGAGGGUAUCAGGAGACUGGGGAGGCCAUCAAAGCAUGGAGGACCCACCAAGCUACCCUCUGCUCUCCUGGAGGCCUGGCAGGCCCCACUGGGCUGGUCUAUACUUUUCUGGAGGCCUGGCCCCUAGGUGUUACCCCAUGUUGGCAAAGGUGAAAGUUCGGGGCUGUCCUAUACACUCCUAGGAGUCUGUGGGCUACAAGAAGCAUGUGAGCCCUGUGAGGUUCAGGGUCAAGGCUUAGUCUGCUGACAAAACCUUGAGUCUCCUUCAAAGGAACCCCCCUCCUGCCCCCAGGAGUCCAAGAUGCACCCAGCACUCAGUUACCUACCGGAGGGCCGGGCCGCCCUCUGGGGCCGGGAGGACCCUGGGGGAACAGGAGAAGAAGAGUGAGCUCUGGUCCACAGGGUCUUCAUCUCUCCCCAUCCCAGUCCCUCCUUAGGCAGACCUGAGACUCAGGGACAAUGGUUCCUCUCGCACAGACGGAUGAUGGAGGUCCAGAGGGAGACCAUGUGCCACCGGGUGAACCCAGGAUGCUCACCCCACACCCUGCCCCACAGCCCACGCCCAGCCCACUCACCCUCGGACCUUGCAAUCCCUGGAGGGAGACAGAAGCAGGGGAGAGAGUUAGGGAACCUGGCUGAGCCCUGGCCCCACCCUGUGAGCCCACCCCUCCCCCAUCCCUGCAGCGUUGCAUCCCUCAGCCCCAGCCCAUCCACUUACCCAGUCCCCACGGCUGCCUUUGUCACCCUUCGGACCCUGCAACAAAUCACAGCCCAGUGAGACGGGCCCAGAGGGGAAUUCCCAUUUCCAGAUGGGGAAACUGAGGGUUAGACUGGCACUGAGUCACAGAGACAAUCUAGAGCCAGGAAAGCAAAGGGACCCAGGAUUCUUCCUGCCCAACACUCGCACAUACCGGGAGUCCCGAAGGUCCCAGGAUUCCAAGGGGCCCGAUGAUGCCUUCCUUUCCCUGAAGGAGAGAGAAAGGCUCAUGUGUCCUUGUCCCAGGGCCUGGGGAACGGAGGCAUGGAGACGAGGGUGGAGGGCAGCCUGAGUGUCCAAGGGAGUGGAAGGGAGAUCGUCUGAGGUAGGCCCAGGCUAUGCAUCUCCCAACCCUCUCCUGUGUGCCUAGGGGUGGGCUUCAAGAGUGGGGCAAGGGGAGGAAGAGUGGAAGGAGGGAAGUAUGGCAGCUGAGCUGGCAGGAAUGGCAGGAGUGGUGUGAAGGUGGGAACCAAGCCUGUGGGCAGAGAGGGCUCAAGAGUCAAGGAGCAAGGGGAGGAUGAAGACAGGUGCCCAGCCAGCUGAUGGCCGGCCAACCUUGAGCCUAGAACGACCAUCCCUGCUGUGACAGCAGGCAGGGGACUCACCAUCAAGCCAGGUGGCCCCCGAGGGCCCUGGAUGCCUUUGAAGCCGAUGUCUCCAGGGGGGCCCUGUGGGAGGCAGAGAAAGGGCUAUCUGUACUUGACAGUUGCUGGGUAAAGGGCCCCUGCAGCUCUCUCACCCCUGGGGUCUGCCAACCUUCACCCUCCCUGUCAAGAGAGGCCUUACCUGAGAGGCCCCAGAAGGAGUAAGAAACACCCACAGUAAUUAUUCAGCAGGUGCCAGCAGUAGGCUGGCUCAGUGCUGUGUGGCGUCUGCCUCUGGUCUUUAUUUUUGCAACAGUCUUCUACUAUCAUUGCUCCCAUUUUACAGAUGAGGAAACCAAGGCUUAAAGAGACUAAAUGACUUGCCCGAGGCAGAGUAGGUAAUUGUGUAGCUGAGCUUGGAACCUAGGUCUGCUGGAGUAGGUACCAGGGGAUGAGGGUGUUCAUGCCUGAUUCUGGUUCCAGAUUGGGUAUUUCAGCCAAUGUUUUAAGUGCCCCAUAACUAUUUGCUGAAUGAAUAAAUGAAUGAAUGGGGUGAAUGGAUGGGACCCCAGAGGAAUGGUGAGCAGUGGGAGUCCAUACCUUGGGUCCGAAGAGACCUGCCAUUCCUGGGAAGCCCAUCUCGCCGGAGUCGCCCUGCGGGGAGAACAGGAAGUGACGGAGUGAGUGAGGUCACAACCAGCAUGUCCCGCCGGUCACCCAGGUCCUCAGGGCCUGCCUUUUCCCUCCCGGCCUGUCCAGGGUGAUCAAGUGAGUGUGGACAGUCCUCCUGGGCUAGAUGCCAGUCCUCCUGGGCUCCAAGGGGAGCCUGUGCUCUCCAUCAGAUGAGAGAGCAGAGCCUGGCUCAGGAUUCCGCAGGGGAGGCUCUGCAACACUCCGGAGCUCCUGUCCCAAGUCUUCGAGGGACAGAAUAAAAGGUCCCGCAGCCGCCUCCCAUGGGUUGGAAAUGCUCUGUUAAGGAAUGAUCCCCUAAAAAUAACCCCAUUCACUGAAGGCCUACUAUGUACCACCACACCUGCAUGCUCCCAGGGACACACCAUGUCCCCUGUUCACAGAUGAGGAAACUGAGGCUCAGAAAGGUCAGGAACUUGCUGAAAGUCACACAGACACCAUGUCAUGGACUGUGCUAGAUUCAGACCCAGGGUGAACAAUUCCAGGGACCUUCGGCCUCCUCUCCUGACUCCUGCUCCCAAUCUUCCAAGAGGUUAAGAGAGCAAUCGGCAAGGGGGGAAUGCUGGGGCCUGUGCCAAGAAGGGAGAGCUGGGGGUCCCUGGGGACAGAGAUGCCUGCCAUUAUUGCGCAUUCUUGGGGCCUGGCCUUCAAGCUCAUGAGCAGAAAGACAUAAGUAGUUAGAAUCUCCUAGCCUAAUAUUUUAAGACCAGUAGCAAGCCAAUUCCCUCUACUGAGCCUGUUUCCUCAUCUGUAAAAUAGGAUAAUAUGUCAUCUCGCUCCCAAAAGGGCUGGAAGGAUGCAAUUCAAGACCCGGUGUGGAUGCAGGUAGGCUGAGGCGUCAGGCUUCAGAAGGGUUCCAUGUAAUCUAAAUUCUGUUCAGUUUUAAAAGAUAAUAGCUUUAUUGAGCUGCUGGUGAUUCUCUUGAUGGUUCUGAUUUGUCUUAUGAAUGCUUGUUGGAUAUUUGUGUAUCUCCUUUGGAAAAAAUGUCUACUUGAAUACUUGGUCCAUUUUAAAUUUGGAUUGUCUUCUUAUUCUUGAGUUGUAAGGGUUCUUUAUAUAUUAGAAAUACACAUUCCUUGUGUAUAACUUGUAAAUAUUUUCUUCCAUACUGUUCGAUUUUUCACUUUCUUAAUGGUACCUUCUGAAGCACAGAAGUUUUUGAUUUUGAGGAAGUCCAAUCUAUCUAUUUUUCUUUUUUUGCUUGUGCUUUUGGUGUCACAUUUAAGGAACUAUUGCCUAAUACAAGGUUAUAAAGAUUUGUUUUUUGUUUUCUCCUACGAUGCAUACAGUUUUAGCCUUUACAUUUUGGUCUAUAAUGCAUUUGUAGUUAAUUUUUGCCUGUGGUAUGAAGCAGGGGUCCAACUUACUUCUUUGGUAUGUGGAUAUGUGAUUGUGUGAUUGUCUUAGCACUGUUUAUUUGAAAAAAAUUCUUCUCCCAUCCAAUUGUCCUAGCACUCUUGUUAAAAAUCAAUGGACAUAAAUGUAAGGGUUUAUUUGUUUUCAUUAGUAAUUGGGAAGUGUGAAUUGUCCAACUUUAAUCUUGUUUAAAGAUCAAAAUUUUGGUUAUUCUGGGCCAUUUGCAUUUCCAUAUGAAUUUUAGGAUCAAUUUGUCAGAUUUUGUUAAAAACUCAACUUGGAUUUUGAUGGGGAUUAUAUUUCAUCUGUAGCUUCAUUUGUAGUAAGUACAGCUAUCUUAACCAUGCUAAGUCUUCUGAUCGAUGAAUAUGGGAUGUCUUUCCAUUUGUUUAUUUAUUUAUAAAAUUUAAUCAACAUUUUGAAUUUUUCAGUGAACACAUCCUGCACUUGUUUUUUUUAAGAUAGGGUCUUGAGAUGUUGCCCAGGCUGGACUUGAACUCCUGGGCUCAAGAGAUUCUCCCAUUUCAGCCUCCUCAGUAGCUAGGGCUAUAGGCACAUACCACCACGCCCAGCUUCUUGCCCUUCUUUUAUUAGAUUUAUUCCUAUUUUAUUUGAUGCUAUUAUAAACGAAAAUGUUUUUUAAUUUCAUUUUUGAAUUGUUCAUUGUUAGUAUAUAGAAAUAUAAUUGAUGUUUUUAUGUUGUAUAUACAAAUGGUAUUUUUGUAUAUUGAUCUUAUAUCCUGCAACUUUGGUUUAUUAGUUGUAAUAAUUUUGUUUUGUGGAUCUUUUACUGUUUUCCAUAUACAAGAUCAUGUCCUUUGUGAACAGAGAUAGUGUUACUUCUUCCUCUCAAAUCUAUUUCAGUUCAAUAUUGAAUAGAAGUGGUAACAAUAAACAUCCUUGGCUUGUUUCUGAUCUUGAGGGAAGUGUUCCGUCUUCUACCGUUAACUAUGAUGAUACCUGUGGAAUUUUCAUAGAUAUUUUUUAUCAGGUUGAGGAUGUUCCCUUCUGUUCCCAGGUUGUGUUAUUGUUGCUGUUUUUAUCAUCAAAGGGUGUUGAAUUUUGUCAAAUGCUUUUUCUGCAUCUAUUAAGAUGACUGUAUAAUGUUUGUCUUUAUUUUAUUAAUAUGAUGUAUUACACUGAUUUCCAAAUGUUGAACCAGCUUUGCAUUUCCAGGAUAAAUCUUACUUUGUCAUGGUAUAGAAGAAUCCUUUAGGCAUAUCGCUGAAUUCAGUUAUCUAAUAUUUUAUUAAGGAUUUUUGUGUCUGCAUUCACAAGGCUUAUUUGUCUGUUGGUUUCUUUCUUGUGAUGUCUUUCUCUGGUUGGGGUAUCAGGAUAACACUGGCUUCACAGAGCCAGUUGUGAGAUGUCCUACCUGUUCAUUUUUGCACUCUGAUCGCUGUCUCCUAUGUACCCAACAGGUGCAAAGAAGGGGUGAUUUAAAGAACAGUCUUACUAAAGUAAAACUGAAGAUAAACAACUGUACUAUUUAAAUUGUACAAUCUGAUUCAUUCUGACAUAUCUGUGUUCAUCCAUGUAACUGUCAUGAAAACCAAGAGAAAGUUUCCUCACACGCUUUUGUAGUCUCUCUUUCCCGCCUUACCCUCCCAUCUCCAGGAACCACUGAUCUAUUUUCUUUCAAUGCAGAACAGUUUGCAUUUUCUAUAAUUUUAUAAAAAUGAAACCACACAGUAUACACUAGUUUUUAUCUGAGUUCUUUCACUCAGCCUAAUUAUCUUGAGAAUCAUCCAUGUUGUUGUGUAUAUCAAUAGUUCAAUCCAUUUACUGAUAAAUAGUAUUUCAUUGUAUAAACAUACUACACUUUAUUCACCUGCUGAUAUACAUUUGAGUUUGUUUUUUUUUUCAAUUUGGGCUAUCAUAAAUAAAGCUGCCAGGCACCUUCUAGUAUAGUCUUUGUAUGGCUGAACAUCCUUAUUUAUGUAGGGUAAAUAACUAUGAAUGGAAUGAUUGGAUUAUACAGUAGGGAUAUGCUUAACUUUUAAAGACGCUGCCCAACUGAUUUCAUAGUGGUUGUACCACUGUAAAUUUCCAUUAUCAGAGUGUGAAAGUUUCAAUUGCUCCAUGUCUUCACCAAAACUUGGUGUGGUUAGUCUUUUAAAGCUCUUCACUAUUCUAAUAGGUGUGCAAUAGCAUCUUAUUGUGGUUUUAAUGAGCAUUUGUCUAAUGACUAAUGAUCUGAAUCUUUUUCUCAUGUGCUUAUUUGCUAUUGGUAUAUUUUCUUUGAAGUGUCUAUUAAAAUCCUCUGCCCAUUUUUAAAAACUGGGCUGUUUAUUUUUAUUAUUGAGUUUUGAGAGCUCUUUAUAGGUUCUGGAUACAAAUCCUUAAUCAGAUAUACGAUUUAGAAAUAUUUUAUCCCACCAUGUGGCUUGUCUUUUCCUUGUCUUAAUAGUGUCCUUUGAAGAGCAAAAUUUUAAAUGUUGAUCAGGUCUGAUUUGUCACGUUUUUUUAAUGGGUCAUGCUUUUGGUAUCAUAUCUAAGAAUCUUUGUUUUAGCCAAGUUCUUGAAGAUGUCCUUCUAUGUUGUAGAAGCAUUUUCCUUUUCGGUUUUACACGUAGGUGUAUGAUCCAGGUUGAGUUAAUUUUUGUACAUGUUAUGAGGCAUCACGUGUCUGGCACCACUUGUUAGGUAAGACUAUUUUGUAUUUGCUGAAUUGUCUUCACACUUUUGUUAAAGAUCAGUUGUCCAUAUAUGUGUGGCAUAUUCCUGGACCUUUUAUUCUGUUCCUUUGAUCUGUUAGUGCGUUUAUGGCAAUACCACAAUUUCUUGAUGACUGCAGAGUUGUAAUAAGUCUUGAAAUCAAGUGCCAUUAGUCUGUCAACUUUGCUCUUCUCUUUCAAUGUUGUUUCAGUUAUUCUAGGUCCUUUAUAUCUCAUAUGUAUCAUUAGGAUUAGCUUGUAAUUUUCUACAUGAAAACCUGAUAAGAUUUAGUUGAAAUUGUGCUGAAUCUAUAGACAAUUUUGAAGAAAUCUGACAUAUUAAUAUUGAGUCUUUUAACACAUACACAUAGUAUAUAUCUCCAUUUAUUUAAGUCUUCCUCAAUUUCUCUUACCAGUGUUCUAUAGUUUUCAGUGUAUAUAUGUUACACAUCUAAUGUCAAUGUAUCUCUAAUAGUAUUUUAUGCUAUUAUAAAGUGUUGCUUUUUAGAUUUCCAUUUCUAAUUGCUUGUUGCUAGUGUACAGAAAAGCAAUUUAUUGGUGUACAUUGAUUAGUGAAUAGAAAUGUGAUUCAUUUAUGCAUACUGACUAGUAUAUACAAUCACAUUUGUGCAUAUUGAUCUGGUGUCCUGUGAUCUUGUUAAACUCACUUAUUCUAGUAGCUUUAUUGCAGAUGCCAAUGGAUCUUCUACAUAGACAAUUGUUUCUUUUACAAAUGAAAAGUUUUAAUUCUUCCUUUAUGAUAUGAAUGCCUCUUAUUUGUUUUUCUUGCCUUAUUGCACUGGCUAGAAUUGCCAGUACAAUGUUGAAUAGAAGUGAUGAGAAUGGAUAUCCUUGACUUGUUUCUGAUCUGCUCCUUGGAAAAAAGCAUUCAGUCAAUCACUGUUAAGUAUGAUGUUGACUAAGUUUUCCAUGGAUGUACUUUAUCAAGUUGAGGAACUUCUAUACCUAGUUUCUUGUGAGUUUUUAUUCAGAAGCAGAGUUAGAUUUUUGUUAAAUGCUUUUCCUGCAACUACUGAGGUGAUCAAAUGGAUUUUCUUUUUGAGUUUGUUAAUAUAGUGAAUUAUAUUGAUUUAUUUUCAAAUGUCAUACCAUCCUUGCAUUCCUAAGAUAAACCCCACUUGGUCUUGAUGUAUUAUCCUUAAUAUAUAUUCUUAGGUUCAUCUAACUAAAAUUUUAUUGAGAAUUGUGGUAGCUAUAUUUAUGAGGCAUAUUAAUCUGUAAUUUCCUUUUCUUGUAAUGUCUGGCUUUGACAUCAGGGUAAUAUCAGCUUCAAGUAAAGAGUUGGUAUUCAUUCUUCUCUUCAAUGUUCUGGAAGAGUCUAUGUAGAAUUGAUAUUAUUUCUUUUGUAAUGUUUAUUAGCAUUGACCAGUGAAGCCAUCUAAGCCCAGAAUUUGCUUUGUGGGAAGCUCUUUAACUGCAGAUUCAAUCUCUUUAAUAGAUACAAGGCUAUUUAGGUAAUCAGUCUCUUCUUGAGUGACCUUUGAUCAUUUUGUCUUUCAAGGAAUUUGUCCAUUUCAUCUAGGUCUUUAAAUUUAUUGACAUAAAGUUAUCAUUCUCUUAUUAUCCUUUUAAUCUCUGUCAUAUCUGUAGCGACAUUGCUCCCCUAUCCCUGAUACUAGUAACUUGUGGAUUCUCUCUCUUUUUUUUUGUUUCCUGAUUAGUCUGGCAAGAGGUUUAUCAGUUUUACAGGUCUCAAAAAACUUUUGAUUUUCCAUUUUUGUUUGUUUGUUUGUUUAUCUUCAUUAUUUCCUUCCUUCUGCUUACUUUGUUUUAAAUUUGCCUUCUCCAGCCCCAACCCCCAAUUUCUUAAGAUGAAAUCUGAGACCAUUUGCUUGAGACCUUUCUUCUUUUCUAACACAAAGAUCUUUAUAUUACUAUAAAGAUCUCCCUAAAUAUUACAUCAACAGCAUUUCACCGAUUUUUAUAUGCUGCUUUUUACUUUCAUUCAAUUCAGAAUGUUAACUCCCUUUUGAUUUCUUCUUUGACCCAUGAGUCAUUUAGACAUUUGUUAUUUAGUUUCCAAAUAAAUAACAAAUAAAUCUCUGUUAUUGAUUUAUAGUUUAAUUUAAUUAUGGUAAGAGAACAUUCUUC